GUGCAUGGCUCAGUGGUUAGAGCAUUGGGCUCACAACCAUAAGGUUAUGAGUUCAAUUCCUAUCAGGCUCA
rnacentral:tRNA from 1 species